GACAGAGGGUGCAAACGUUGUUCGGAAUUACUGGGCGUAAAGCGCGUGUAGGCGGCUAAGUAAGUCGGGCGUGAAAUCCCACGGCUCAACCGUGGAAGUGCACUCGAAACUGCAUAGCUAGAGUCCUGGAGAGGAAGGUGGAAUGCUUGGUGUAGAGGUGAAAUUCGUAGAUAUCAAGCGGAACACCGGUGGCGAAGGCCGGCCUUCUGGACAGUGACUGACGCUGAGACGGCGAAAGCGUGGGGAGCAAACAGG
rnacentral:rRNA from 1 species